GCUUCGUUAACUCAGCGGAAGAGUGCCGGCCUGUCUAGCCGGAAGCCGCGGGUUCGAACCCCGCACGGAGCGCCA
rnacentral:tRNA from 1 species